rnacentral:tRNA from 1 species
UUCCUGGUGGCUCAGUGGUAAAGAACCUGCCUGCCAAUGCAGGAGACACAGGUUCGAUUCCUGGGCGGGGAA